GAUGAAGAACGUAGCGAAAUGCGAUACUUGGUGUGAAUUGCAGAAUCCCGUGAACCAUCGAGUCUUUGAACGCAAGUUGCGCCUCAAGCCAUUAGGUUGAGGGCACGUCUGCCUGGGCGUCACAUAUCGUUGCCUGAUGCCAGUUUCCUCGUGAUGGGUGACUGUGCAGGGCGAAUGAUGGCUUCCCGUGAGCAUUGUUGCCUCAUGGUUGGUUGAAAAUUGAGUCCUUGGUAGGGAGCGCCGUGAUAGAUGGUGGUUGAGUGACGAACGAGACCCAAUCAUGUGAGACCCCUACCGAAUUUGGCCUUCAUGACCCACAUGCGUCUUUUGACGCUCAUGACGAGACCUCAGGUCAGGCGGGGCUACCCGCUGAAUUUAAGCAUAUCAAUAAGCGGAGGA
rnacentral:misc_RNA from 1 species